UCAUCAUAUAGUAAGAAUCAUUUUUGGAAAAACCUUAGCUGCAAAAAACAUCCAAAAUACACACAUACAUCACAAUAUAUACAAAUUUAAAAAACUUCCACAACUAAAUUUCUCCUGGAAAAGUCUGAUUCUCAUAUCAGGACGCCCAAUUUCAAACAGAAUAUUCAGAGUCUAACAACAACAACAUACUUCUAUUCCAGACUAAGUUUGCUUAAAAAGGUAAGCACCACUUUUUCAGAUGUAGUGGUUGCUGGUAGAAUUGAAGGUAACGCUAGCUGGAACCCCUCUCUCUGCCCCAUUCCUGAUAGAAACAAAAUACCAAAUUAGUUGCAUCCCUAUUAUAUUGUAAAGUUAGCAACUCAGAGGUUGUAAGACCCCAACUUUUUAUAAAUAAAAUCGAAUUUUCUCUAAUUAUUAUUCUUGAUUAAUAAGGUGGUAAUUUGAUAUAAUGCUUUGGUUAUGGGUGAAAUGUGCAAAUUUUUCAAAAUAAGCAAGUGGUUAUAAAAUAUUCAUUUCUGUCGGGGAAUAUUCGUUUGGUCGUGGAUAUUCUUUUUGUCGGGAAUAUCCGUACGACGGCGCAGUCAUUUGUGGGCCCCGUAACAAAAUAACUGUCGGAUGAGAAAAACGAUAAAGUAUGAGUUUAUAUGAAUAACGACGUAAUGGUUACCGUUAACACUGUUGGAUUACCUGGUGGUUAAAAUACAGUAAUACGCGUUGUUGCACAGUAGCACACGGUAUUGCACAGUAUUUUGAAUUAUUGAUCCUUACGUAAGAAGGCACUACUCAAUAAUUGUUACAGUAGUUACUGUUCAAUAUUUUAUUUUAUUGGUUCAAUAAUUGUUGCGUUGAUAUGUUAUAUUAUUGUUGUUCAAUAAUUAUCACUGCACAAUAUUUCCAUUAUCAGAUCAAUAAUUCAUAUUAUUUGAAUAAUAUUAUUAGAUAGCAUUAUUGGCAAUGUCUAGAAAGUUCUGUCUAAGGAGAGGUUAUUUAAUUGCGCGCCAGUAAGGAGAAAUCCUUACCGGAAGGCCCCCUCUUUCCUGGGAAUGGCCUGGUUGUCAUAAUUGUGAUUCUGUAAUAUUAUUCGAGAAUAAUUAAUUAUUGAUUUAUAUGAUAAGGAAAUAUUUAUUUUAUGUGGAUAUAAAUGAAGGAAUUUUUACAUGAAAUAAUUGUUGAAAGUUUGACAUAUUUUUGUGGAAUUACAAUUAUUUCUCUAAUAAAAUAUUCAUUUAAAUGUAUUUAUUUCAAAUAAUAUAUAUAUAUAUAUAUAUAUAUAUAUAUAUAUUUAUGCAUGUGAUUAAAUAAAAGGAGUGAGCAAAUUGUUUAGCUUGUCCGUUAUUUUCUAUGAGUGGUUGGUGUCUGAUGUGGUUUAUGUAAGCCAUUCCUUUGUUUUCAAAAGUAGUAUGCUUUUGGUUAUGUUUUUCAAAGUUGAAUUCUCCUGCAAAUACAUUUCAUGCUAGUGUUUCAAAUAGUGUGGGCCCUCCAUUAUUGCAAAAUGUAAGAGUUGUCUGCAAAUUUGAUUGUUUCAAAUGGGUGGGUGGCUCAAAUAAAAUUCUUUCUUGCUAAACUUGUGGGUCGAAGCCUUGAAAAAAAAACGAGAGAAGAGAAUGGAAAUUAGGCAGAUUGCUUUGUUGUUUCUCCCACCGUUUCAGUAUAAAUAGAGGGAUAACCCUCCUUCCUCAACACACCAUUUUCAUUAUCAGAAAUUCUUAUUCUAAAGUAUUGUGAGUAUUUUUCUUGAGUAUAAGAAAACUUUGAGCGUAAUUUUUCUGCAAGAUUUUCUCGGAAUAAUAUCCGAUAUUCCAAUCAAAUCCAGUUUCUACUAAGGUAAGGGAUGUUAUUUCUUUCGCAAAUGAUAUUAUUUUCUCCAAUAUCAUUAUGCCAAAAUAUUGGUUGAACUUUUUAUCAAAUUUGGAACUUGUUGUGUCGGGGUUACUAUUCACGUAUACGGCAUUAUUCACGAAUACGGCACUAUUCACCGAAAAAUAAAAUUUUUCCUUUUUGUCCAAAAUAUCUAUUAUGGGUAUUAUCUUUAAUUGUAUCCAUGUUUUGGUCUUUAUUUUUGAAAUUCUGCUUCAUAUUUGGUUAUUAUGGAGUAUUAUUGAAUUUGGAUAUACUGAAAUACGAAUCCCUAAUAUUUGUCCUUUUGUUUCAAUGGAUUCGUUUCUUUUAAAAUAUUUUUCAUCAUCCUCAGUCCUAAAUGAUGAUACUACUGAAUAUCUUUGGUCUGUAGUGCAAAGAUGAAUAUUGAUUGUUGUUACAGGGAUAAAAUAAUGAUGAUGGACUUUUAAAUGUUAGAAGAUAGUAGAACUCAUUCUCUACGUUACUCUUCUAAUGGAUUGUUGUUUCCGCUGCAUUUGUUGAUCUAAAACUUGUUGUCUAUUAUAUUCUAUCAGAUUUUUCCCUGUUGAGGACUAAUGAUAAUUUGUUGUAUAUUAUCUUAGUCAUAAUAUUCUUUACUGGGCUAGUUGAGCUCACCCUUUUCCUUGUUGUUCCAUUUUUCUUGUCAGGAGGUGAGAAUUUAGCAAGGACUAGCCGGGGUAUGGAAUGAUGAUUCAAGAUAGCUAUUUUAGUAGUCCUCACUAUUUUGUAAAAUAGUGUAUUAAUAAAUAUAAUGAGGACUUAUUUGGGUGUAGAUAUUGUCUAGAAGACAAUAUUUGUAUUUAAACUCAUAGCUUGUGUAUUUGUCGUAUUUUACGCGACAGUUGUAUUAAUAAACUUGUAGUUGUUUCUGUACCAUGUAUUUGGCGACUCAGAAUGGGUGUUGUAUACCUAUUUUGGGGGUGUCACAAGGCCCCAUAUACUGAAUACAAUUACAAAACAUGAGACAAACAUGUAAAAUUGAAAAAUAUGUACCAUGUUAUCCAAGCUAAGUAAUAAAAGAUUCAUUAUACUCAGGAUUCCAUUCUUAUCAUUACUAUUUUCAUCUAAUAAUCUUUUAUUUUCUCUUUUAAACACACUGAAAGCUCCACACCAGAUGGUAUCAUGGUAAUAUAAGAGUACACAACUGCUACGAACCAAUACAAUGAUAUCACUUCAAGUGGGAUCUCUCAAUUUAAAUUUCUAAAAGGAUACAGCAUGAUUCAACUUGUGAGGGCGGUAACAUAUAAAUACCAGGACAACCGAGGAAAGAUAACCUAUUGAUAACCACUAAUUCAAAAAUUUGUUAAUCAUUUUACUGUUAGUUGGACAAUGGAAUCCUUGAACUGUUUACCAAGCCAAAUGACCUCAAAGAAAAUGAAUAAAAAAAAUCAAUUACAAAAAUGUAAAACUCAAACACACAUACAAUAAAGUAAUAUGCAGCACUUCCAUGGCCCCCUAAUCUGUUACCAAAUUUGAACAACACUGAUCCCAUAAAAUGACCCUCCUAAAGAAAGGGUAGAUUCUAUUUUUUCAACUUAAAAUUUGACUUGUAAUAUGUUUUAAAUUUAAGAACAUCAAACUUUGAGAGCAGUAGAAUUUAGCUGCCAUUUAGGGGGCAUUUAAGGAAGGGGCUAAACUUAUUUUCUAUCCAAAACCCCUUCACUUUCCGGGUUUUACAACUUUUCCCAAAAAAUAUUCAACUUCUCAAACAAUUAGUAAUACUCAUCUUAAAACUAAUAUAAUGCUCCACAAUUUAGUCUCUUGAGGCUUAAAAAAAGGAACCCCACCUGAUAUGAAUGGAAUGAGCAGAAAGAUUUUAUUCCUUCAAUAAGAAAUAAAGCUCUAAUUCCCAGCUUCCACGUGUUUUCACAGAAAGUGAUAUAUAAUAAGAAUAUCGAUGAGGUGAACAUCACCAACAAAUGAGAUAUUUACAAAAAAAAAAAACUGAAACAAAAUCAAAGUAAAGAAAUUCGUACAUCCAGAUUAUGAGUUUGUACGAAUUAGGCAACGAUUGUAUGGAGUUUUACCUUCAGAUCUGUUUUACCUUCAAAGUAAAAAAAAUCAAAGUUAUGGAGUUUUACCUUCAGAUCUGUUUGCCUCUGCUUCCGAUAAGCUCUUCCGCCUGCUACCUUAUCGUGUGAGAGAGGGAGGGAAGAAGAUGGAGCAGAGUUUUUAGUCCGUCAGUUUGAUCUGAG
rnacentral:lncRNA from 1 species